rnacentral:tRNA from 1 species
GGGAAUGUGGCUUAGUGGUAGAGUGCUUGCCUAGCAUGCAUGAAGCGCUGAGUUCAAUUCAUCAGUACCA